AAAAAUGCUUUUGAAAAAGUAAGAAGUAAAAUAUUGGCCUUUUUCAUUUUGUUUUAUUUUUAAAAUCUCCCUCACAAAACCCGAUCGUUCUCUCUCAAGUUUGACAUCCACUCCACCCCUUAAGCUCACAAGGUUGACCUCCACACUCUGCUUCGCUACGCUUUGGCCUAUCUUUGGUCCUUCACGCAUUGGCUUCAAUUUGAUGGUUUUCAGUUGGGCAACUGAGGAAUUGCUUCAACCUUUUCACUUUGUUGUUGUCUGAGGCUUCAAGCUCUUGGGUUUUCGUGGGUACUCAGCAGCUGACAUGGGGUGAGCUCUUCUCAAUUCUUGGUGUUUCAGCCAUGGAUGUUCUGUCAUUGACUGAGCAGUGGCUGUCAGCACUAUAUCUGAAAGAAAGUGUUUCUUUCCAUGGAAGUUUGGAGGAGAACCUGCCAAUGAAGCUACUGGCAUAUCCGCAGUGGUCACCAGUCUUUCUCUGAGCCCUUUGCUUCUGUGAGAGUUGCAUGCCAAAGAACAAGUCCAUGUAUUCAUGAGCUUUUGCUAUGAGCUGCGAAUCAACUCCAUGAUUAACAACGAGGAAAAAUCCAUGCUUCCUGCAUGCCUCAUCGACUAAACAAGUCGCGUUUGAGACCUCCCUAGUGUCCCCUGUGAGAAAGCCUUUCAUGUCAAUGUGAGGAACUGGAAGCUCUGGCGGCUCAGGGCAUGGCUUCUCGUGGUCGGGCCAUAUGAAUUUGGAGGGUAUGCUGGAUUGGUACUGAGCAACUGAAGCAUCAAAAACCAAAGGGUUUUCUUCAUUUUCAUUCUUUGCUUCAUUUGUUGGUGGGAGAUGUUGAGGGGGCGGCAUUGGCAUGCUUAGCAUAUAAUGCAGCCUUCUUAGUUUUGGAACUGGGAAGCGCACUAUUUGUUGGUUUUUGGGUUGGUACUUGUAGUAGAGAGAGAGAGAGAGAGAGAGAGAGAGAGAGUUGGUUAUUGAGGAAGAGUUAGCAAGGAGGACAGAGUUUAAAAGGAAGGUGAGAGGGAGUGGAGAGAAACAGCCAAGACUGUUCAUUGGGGAGGUCGGUAAACAAAUAUUAGAAUCUUAUUAUUUUUACUGUUGCGUCAUUCCUCUCUCACUCUGUGUCUCUUAUCCCAUAGCUAUAAUACUUUCAUUUUAACUUUAACAUCCCCCAAAAACCAACCCAACCCACACACAUACAUACAUACAUACUGUAUCUAUGAGUUCUAGGUCUAGAUCAUCCCAAGUCUUUCCAAAAAACCACCAACCAGACAUUCUGGAAAGAUAUGUUAGCUAUUUUCCGUAGUUAGCUUUCUUUGCAAUUGGGUUUGAACUUGGAAACUUUUACCUGCCUAUUUGACCCACCAAAAAAACAAAAAACCUUGCAUUUGUUAGAGCUUCUCAAGGAUUUUACAUGUGUGAUACACUAAUUAAAGGUGGAAGGGAGAUGAGACAGGACAACUCCCUCUGGUCUUUUGCUCCAAAGAACCCCAUUUUGGGCAAGUUGUGAUGGGAUAGAUUCUAUCAUUGUAGAGGUCUGAACCUGCAAAAGGGUUUUUUUUAUUUGGGCACAGAAUGAUUUAUGGAUCUCCAUAAUUAGAUGUGUCGUUUCAUUUCA